rnacentral:rRNA from 1 species
GAUGAACGCUGGCGGCGUGCUUAACACAUGCAAGCCGAACGAAGCAUUUAAGACAGAUUUUUUCGGAAUGACGUUUUUUAUGACUGAGUGGCGGACGGGUGAGUAACGCGGGGGUAACCUGCCUCACACAGGGGGAUAGCAGUUGGAAACGACUGGUAAUACCGCAUAAGCGCACAGCUUCGCAUGAAGCGGUGUGACAAACUCCGGUGGUGUGAGAUGGACCCGCGUCUGAUUAGGUAGUUGGUGAGGUAACGGCCCAACAAGCCGACGAUCAGUAGCCGACCUGAGAGGGUGACCGGCCACAUUGGGACUGAGACACGGCCCAGACUCCUACGGGAGGCAGCAGUGGGGAAUAUUGCACAAUGGAGGAAACUCUGAUGCAGCGACGCCGCGUGAGUGAAGAAGUAUUUCGGUAUGUAAAGCUCUAUCAGCAGGGAAGACAGUGACGGUACCUGACUAAGAAGCUCCGGCUAAAUACGUGCCAGCCGCCGCUGUAA